rnacentral:rRNA from 1 species
AUGGUUCGGUGGUCGGAGAUUUGUAAGCCCCGCGAUCAGGGCGGACUCGGUUUCAUGUCCUCCAAACGCAUGAACAUAGCUCUCCUGACUAAGUGGCUGUGGCGGAUUGCGAACGGAGAGGGGGGCUUGUGGCUUCUCAUCAUCCAGCAGAAAUACCUCCGUGGCCAGCCACUCGCCUUCUGCCAGUGGUCCGGUGGAUCCUGA